CAUCUCCUAAUUAGAGUAAUCCCUUCCUUUUCAAUUCUCAAAGAGUUUGCACAAAAUUUUAACCCAAAUGCUAGGAUUGAUACGGGUAAUUCUAUUGUUGUUUAGCAACAAAGUACCAAGUAGAUUUAGAUAGGGAAAAUUUUCAAGCUUACCUAUCUCAUUGUCAGACAAAUCAAUGCAGUCAAAUUGAUCCUGCAAAGGAACAGUACAUUAUUCCAUAAUGCUCAACUCUUUGCAAAUGAAAUCAACAGAUUAGAAGCAUUGCAAAGCUACAACAACUAUUAAAGACUUGAAAAGCCCAAAAAAUAAAAGAAAAAAUCAAUGGGGGAAGUUUAAUGAACUCACCUCAGUAGCAUCCACGUUCUCUAUAACAACAAUCUUACUGCCUAUACACACUAGAAUAUACAUCAAAUAAAACAACAUGCAAAGAAACUACAGUAAGACAUCUACCUGCCUCUCCCAAUUAGAGUAAUCCCUUCACAAAAUUUUCACCCAAAAUAAGAGUAUGUACAAAUUUUAGGGUUUUGGUAAUUUAGGCGUAUGAGAGAGUAAUGGUAGGAGGAGGAUGAUACUAAAUAGGAAGAUGAUACCUUGAAAGCCGAUGAUACCUUGUUCAGCGAAGCCAGAGUUCGGCGUCUGCAUUUGGCGUUUGAGAGAGAAUAUUGAUGCUAGAGAUGGAGUGUUUGGCAAAGUGAAAAGAGCAUGAAAAGUUCCGUGUAUUGACUUUUUUUUUUGUUUCUUUUCCUCUCUGCACAGCCACAUCAGCCGGUCACUAAUAAUGUCCCCAAACCCCUGUCGCCCCAGAAUUAUUGAUCACUUAAUCAUCUCUCUCUCUCAAAUCUUUGCUCCAAGAAAGAUUUUAUAAAUAUGAAGAUCAGAGUUUGCUCAGUGGUGGAGGUGAUAAGACCUUUUGAGGGUGUGGUCAGAAAUUUAUAAUAAAAUCCGAACAAGGAUCGAAUUGAUGAUCUUUUUACAUAAGAAUAUUAGAUUAUUUAAAAAAAUGUUUUAAAAUCAUUACAAACAUCUUAAGAUUAUUCCAGAGGAAUUUAAUUUGGAUUGACACAUAAAUAAACUCGAGAAUAUGC
rnacentral:lncRNA from 1 species